ACACGUAGGGGGCGAGCGUUGUCCGGAAUUACUGGGCGUAAAGGGUGCGUAGGCGGUCUGUUAAGUCGGAUGUGAAAGACCCGGGCUCAACCCGGGAUGUGCAUCUGAGACUGGCGGACUUGAGUGCAGGAGAGGGAAGUGGAAUUUCUAGUGUAGCGGUGGAAUGCGUAGAUAUUAGGAAGAACACCAGUGGCGAAGGCGGCUUUCUGGACUGUAACUGACGCUGAGGCACGAAAGCGUGGGGAGCGAACAGGAUUAGAUACCCUGGUAGUCCACGCCGUAAACGAUGGAUACUAGGUGUAGGUAUCGUAGGAUAUCUGUGCCGGAGUUAACGCAAUAAGUAUCCCGCCUGGGGAGUACGGCCGCAAGGUUGAA
rnacentral:rRNA from 1 species